UACGUAGGGUGCGAGCGUUAAUCGGAAUUACUGGGCGUAAAGCGUGCGCAGGCGGUUUUGUAAGCCAGAUGUGAAAUCCCCGGGCUCAACCUGGGAAUGGCAUUUGGGACUGCAAGGCUGGAGUACGGCAGAGGAGACUGGAAUUCCUGGUGUAGCAGUGAAAUGCGUAGAGAUCAGGAGGAAUACCGAUGGCGAAGGCAGGUCUCUGGGCUGAUACUGACGCCCAUGCACGAAAGCGUGGGGAGCAAACAGG
rnacentral:rRNA from 1 species